GGGCCUGCGGGGUGGGCGUGGCGACCCCGCGUGACCCCGUGACCCCGGGAUGCAGUCGCUGGUGUCGCCCGUGACGAAGGCGCUGCUGGUCGCGCUCUUCAUCUUCGCCAUCCUCCUCAUCCUCUACGUCAUCCUCUGGUACAUCUGCCGCGACGUGGACUGCGACCACGGCCUGUGACGUCACGCGCGCGACGGCCGGGGCAUGGCCGCCAACAACGCCGCCCGCGGCAGGGGGAUGACCACGACCACGGCCCAUGACGUCACCCGGACCCCCGACCCAUGACGUCACCGCCCACAGCCUCGGACCGCGGGGAGGACUGCGGUGGUCCGGCGCUGGGGAUGAUGUCACGCAGGCCCCGCCCACGCCGGGGGAGGCCCCGCCCCCUCGCACGCGAUGAUGACGACAUCAAGGAAGCAACGUCCGCCAUCGCGGUCCGCCAUCUUGCCAAGCCAUGAGCGCCCCGUGGGCGGGGCCUGACCGUCCCGUGACGUCACCGCCGGGGCCCCGCCCACCCCCGCACCGCAGCCGCCGAUCCUCCGCGCGCCUGCUCGUCCCGGCCGGUGGUGACGUCACGGGAGCGGGCGGGGCCUCCGGCGCGGCGCCCCGCCCACCCGGAGCUGUCAGUCACUCGUCUCCGUGUCCCUGUCGUCAUCGCUGCGUCAUCGUCGCGUCCUUGUCGUCAGAGCUCCCGCGAUGCCCCCCGCGGCCCGCCCGGCUGUGACGUCAUCGCCCGCGUCAUCGCCCGCGGCCACGCCCCCUCACCGCACCACACCCCCCCCCAGCGGAAAUAAAUGAGUAUUUUUG